rnacentral:rRNA from 1 species
GAUGAACGCUGGCGGCGUGCCUAAUACAUGCAAGUCGAGCGAACAGACGAGGAGCUUGCUCCUCUGACGUUAGCGGCGGACGGGUGAGUAACACGUGGAUAACCUACCUAUAAGACUGGGAUAACUUCGGGAAACCGGAGCUAAUACCGGAUAAUAUAUUGAACCGCAUGGUUCAAUAGUGAAAGACGGUUUUGCUGUCACUUAUAGAUGGAUCCGCGCCGCAUUAGCUAGUUGGUAAGGUAACGGCUUACCAAGGCAACGAUGCGUGGCCGACCUGAGAGGGGGAGCCGCCACACUGGAACUGAGACACGGUCCAGACUCCUACGGGAGGCAGCAGUAGGGAAUCUUCCGCAAGGGGCGAAAGCCUGACGGAGCAACGCCGCGUGAGUGAUGAAGGUCUUCGGAUCGUAAAACUCUGUUAUUAGGGAAGAACAAAUGUGUAAGUAACUAUGCACGUCUUGACGGUACCUAAUCAGAAAGCCACGGCUAACUACGUG